CUGGAGCUGUCUACUUGUGCUGUGCCCCUGUCCAGCCGGCCAGUUUCUCUCUCUCUCUCCUUGUCUGUCUGUCUUUCUGCCUGUUUUUCUCUCUGCCGAACCAGGUCUCCUCCACCAUGCUGGUAAAAGCGCUCCUUCAGACCUCGCUGGUUCUAUGGCUGGCACAACACACACUACAAGGAGGAGUGAAACCUCAAAGUGGCGGUAUGGGGAAAAUGCUACCCAGGGGGGCUGGUGCUCUUGGGAUACAGGGAGGCUACGGAGCCAAGCCCGCCAAAACCGGAGGAACUGGGGGUGGUCGUUAUCCAGGGGGGGCUCAGCAGCUUGGAG